ensembl:processed_transcript
AACUGCUCUGCUCCAGUAGGAGACCCACAACCCUCUGAUGAGGUUUGCUGAAGUAUGACCGUAUGACAGAAGGAGAGAACAGCUCUGCUCCAGUACGAGACCCACAACUCUGAUGAGGUCUUAUAUUGAAGGAUGACCAUAUGACAGAGGAAGAGAACUGCUCUGCUCCAGUACGAGACUCACAACUCUCUGAUGAGCUUUUAUUGAAGGAUGACCAUAUGACAGAGGAAGAGAACUGCUCUGCUCCAGUAGGAGACCCACAACUCUGAUGAGGUAGAAAGUUACAGUGGAUCGUGAUUUUGGAGGAGGUGAAGUCCAGUCUAAAAGAGUCCCCUCAAGUAUCAUCACCAUGGUACAGUGUCUGUGAAGAUAGUGAAGCAGACCCAGCAUUCACAAAAAAGAGAGGUCCCAUAAAGAGAAGAUCCUGGAGCAAACAGGAAGUACAUGCUGUGGUGAAAGCUGAACCAUUGGCUCUAAAAACCAGAGAUUGGUCAGCUUUGGAUUUUUAUAUUAAAAACUGAAUCUCGGCUAUUUAGAUAAAAAAUCUGAAUAACACUUUUAUAGUAAGUAUACACUAUACAUCAUUAGUUUAGCACUAACUCUACAUUAAUAGACUUUAGGAAGCAGUUUAUAAAUACAGCUUCAAACGCUGUAUUCUUGACUUGACUUAAUUGUAUUUUCAUGCUUUGU